GUUUCAAGAGAGAUAGUGGGAGUUUAGGGACCAUGACUAUUGUAGUCAAAAGGAGAAGUCAAAUGAAGAAAGCGAAAUAAACUCCAAGGGAACAAACUUUCUUUAUGAAAGGAUGGACAUUGGAAGGGGUAUUUGCAAGAAAUGUCUUGCAAGUGUCAAGAACACACCUUUCGAAGGUGUUGUAAAUUGUUCUUGAAAAAUUCAAAACAGUUGGUUCUUCUACUUGAAUGCAUGAUUCAGCAUUAGUAACUAUGUUUUACAAUCGUUGUAAAAUGUGGCUAAUAAGAAGUAGAAGAUUAAUGAGAGAAAAGAAAGUACUUCACAUUCGGAACGUGAAUCAAAUGUAGAUCUCUGCGAAAGCAGAUAGUACUUACUUCCUCAUAUGAACUACCAAAGAAAUUGGAAAAACCAAAGAUUGUCUUUACAUUCCAAUUUUAAGGAACUUAAUUCCAUCACUAUAAGAGAUGGAUGAAUGUUUUGUUUGACAAAGCAUUGUUCUUUAUUAAUGAAUGAUUAGAUUGUUGUAAUCUAAUUUAUUGUCUCUAUAGUAGAGAUGAUAUGGUAGUGUUAACUGUUUAUAAAAUAACGAUGCUUAAAACCCAAAAGGUUGCAAGGUAGUGACUAAUCCCAACUGAGUUGUGAUACCACUAAAAACAUAAAUUACGAGUUGGUCAUAGAUGGAUG
rnacentral:lncRNA from 1 species